GCAUAGAUUGGGAUUGCAUUAGAGCUUCGUUAGUGGCCCAGAAAAUGCAAGAAAAUAAGAACUGGGUCCUACUCACGGGGCUUGACGAAUAACUGGGUUUAUUUUAUUUUGUUUUAAUAUUAUUAUUUUUUUCCUACACGUAAUUCAUUUUCCUAGCUUUGGGGGUUCAAUAACUAGACAAAUUUUCAACCAGGAAAAACGUGGCUUACGAACCCAUUUGGCCAUUUCCACUCCUUUUGCUUGGCGUAGUUCAGUUAUAGUUUCUUUUCUCUCUCUAGAGUGGUGUCUCUGAAACAGUUACGAACCUUUCUUGAAUAUACAAAAAGAAAAAAAAGGAAAUAAUAUUAUACAAGUAAGAGGAAAAGGGAAAGCUGAGGUUUUUGGAACCUUGUAUUAAGGUUUUAGAGGGGGAUAAGAACAACAAAGCUCAAAAUUUAAGGAGUAAAAAAUAGUGUUGGCCACUUUGGUUUUUGUAUUGGGAAUCAGCUGCUUCUGCUUCUCUCUUCAGCUUGCUUCUGGGUGUUUGUGUAUUUUUUUUUUUUUUUGUUCUGCAUUUGGUCUUGUUUGGUUUAUUGCUCUUCUUGGAUCUAAUUCUUCAGGCAAGAAGGAAAAAAGGUUUUAGUAGGAUAUGACUUGGACAGAAAGAGAUCAUACAAUGCGAACCACUAUCAAACAUAUAAAAUAUAUUUGGAUGUUUGCCAUUGAUGCUUGUUAGUUAAGUUGACGCAAAAAGAUGGAUAAUGAAUAUGUAGAUGCGGAGAAGGAUGAACAAGCUAACGGGGAUUCAUUACACAGUAUGAAGAAGGACAGAGAAUUAUCAAAAGAGAGUAAUUUGAAAGUUACUGGAUCAAAAUCAAAAAGGUUAGUCAAGCGAGCAAAUCUACAGCACGCCUUAAUUGUAAAUGUUAAGCAUUUCCAAACUGGUAGAAGUUGCACCAAGAAUUCUUUCUUCAAAAUUAUUAGUAAUUUAGAUAGUAGAAUUCCAAAGCGUAUGGUUAGUUUAGAUGAAAAAUAUCUUCGUCGUUGCUUGGAAUUGAUUCAUUUCAGUGCAACAAAAACAGCUCGGUGCAACGUAUCUGUGAACUUGAGCUCUGCAAAGAUGGGCUUUAUGUCUGACAGCAUGAGUCCUAAAAUUGUAAGUGGAGUUGCAUUUGAUUCAGCUAGGUUUGUCUUCAAAUGUCCAUCUGCUGCUGGGACUGGAGUUGAAGUCAUAACACCUGCAGGACAGUGGAUUUUAGGUUCAAUCAUGGGGAGCAAGAGUAUGAUAAACAUCCUGAAAAGCCCUAUUUUUAACCAAUUAGGUGCCUUAGAUAGCAAUACAAACUUUGGAAGUAUAGAUUCAAAUUAUGUCAACGACUCAAUAUGCUAUGAUAUUAUGGGUUCUCCUAGUGGAUUAAGUCUCUCUUCUCCACUGAAGCUAGAUAAUGGUACACCAGCCAUGGGAAAGCAUAAAUAUGGACCUGGAAACAGAACCGGAGCUCCACUGAAAAGGCUUAUUUCUAUGUCUAGCACAAACUCUGCAUGUUCUGAGCAAUCUUCUUCUUCAGCUUCUGCCACUGUUACUCAAGGGAUGCUCCAAUGCACAUGGAAGGGGGGCAAUCCUCAUUUUGUUUUCUUUACAGAUGAUCAGAGGGAAGUCUAUGUAGCCAACCUGUGGAAGUUUGAGUCAAAGGAUGAAAAGGUUCUGGACUAUAUGUAUUUGUUCCAUUCAGGGAAGGGUUGUCAAAAAGACCAUGAAAUUCGUGACAGUGAUUCACAGCUUGUUGGUAAGAUGAGGGUGUCAAAUUCUUUUUCUCUCUGCCCAAACAAUUCCAAAAUCAUGGAGACUGAAUUUGUUUUGUUUGGUGGUAAUGAAAGUUGUGCAUUAGAGAUGAAUACUUCUUCUAGUCAUAAUAUCAGGAAGAGCAAGGGGUUAUCAAAGAAGGUUGUGGAAGUGUUCAGGACAGGUCACUCGUCUAAACAGAAAACUACCUCCAAAUUAACUGGAUCAAGUGCCUCACUAGGUUAUUGUAUUAUCGAGUCAAGCCUAAAUACAGGUGACAAACUUAGUGCAGUAGGUGGCCCCACUUUGUCAGAUGAUCAUCCUCCUCCAAAUUUUGAAUUAGCUGCCAUUGUUGUAAAAGAGCAUCUCCCUGAAACUCGAAAAGAGGAAGUUGGAGGUUGGGGCUUGAAAUUUCUUAAGAAAGUUGGGGUCAAACACGUUGUCAAGUCUAAGGAAGCCUCAGUUCCUUCAGAAUGUUGUCAAAAUAUUACUGAUUGCUCUACAAGUAUGGACGUUCUAAUCCCAGCAGGUCUUCAUGGUGGGCCAAGAACCAGAAAUGGUGGCCCUUCAAGUAUCAUUGAAAGAUGGAGAUCUGGUGGACACUGUGAGUGUGGUGGUUGGGACAUGGGUUGCCCUCUCACUGUACUUAAGCCUAGACCAAAGAAAGAAGUUUUGCCCCAAACAAAAAUUCAGGGGGAAUGCAAGUCGUUUGAUUUAGUUAUACAGGGUUCAGAACAUGGUGGUCCCACGUUGAGGAUUGUGAAUGUGCAUGAUGAUUUGUAUUAUAUUCACUUUCAACCAACUCUGUCAAUUCUGCAGUCUUUCUCGAUUGCAGUAGCUAUGAUCCACACAAAGAGCCCCACUCUCCGGCCCAAAAAUGUACAUGAGUUGAAGUAGGAAGAUACAAGUUUGAAGAUAAUAUGGUAGUUGUAACUCUUAUUGUACUACACCAGCAAGUCACAAUAUAGCUUGAUCCCUUUGAUAAUGUUUGUUGUACACUGGCACUGGAUGGAUGCCCAAGUCACUGACUUAAAAACUAUAUAUGGAGAUAAGAGACAGAGAAACAGGUUCUCAUUCAUUCCAUUGAUGUAAUGCUGACUUCUGAAACAAUAUUGGACUUAAUAUUCUUUCCUACAGUUUUUCUCUUUAAAUAAGAGCGUGUUAUACAUAAAAAAGCCAUGAAAAAUGGAGGACCUCUUUGUAUUUAGCUGGAUUGAAGCAGAAUUAGACGGGUGUCUGAGGUCUUCUCAGGCUUUUCGCUCGGCUAACAUAUGUUUUCCUGCCAGAAAGUAGAUUUUGCAUGCUUGCUUCAGUCUCCACUAGUUUAUUCGUGUCUGAUAUAUGCAUGAAACACAAAAUGCUGAAGCAGAGAUUGAACAAGCCGAUCAACUUACAUAGGCUUUUGCUAGGUUGUAUAUGAUGAUAUUGUUUUCGAUUUUGUGCAAGACAAUGGCUGUAUUGAAAAGAUAUUUUCAAUUCAAUAUGUUUCAUUUUAGUUCAUGAAAACACUGCUCAAGUUUUGUUGUACAAUAUGGUCUGAAAGACUGCAAAUGAAAAGAACUUGUGAUUAUAAUC